UCCAAUCACUCUCCUAGGCUACAACUUAAGAACAGAGCUGUCUGAGGAAGGGUGGCUCACUGGAGCAAUGAUGGAUGCAAUCACAAGAUGCAACAUGCAGCUGGACAAUAUUACUUAUAGGAAGGUGUCCAGGAGAUGGAGACACUACCUGCCUGCAAGUUUUGCGGAUGCAGUGAUCGGGGGCUCAAGAAACAUAGACGGCGAAGGAAUGAGGGUGCAUUUUACUGGCAACCAAAUUGGGUAUGAAGUGCCCAAUUGCCGAAUGAUCAUAGCACCAGUGUGCUACGUUGGCAAAUGGAGCUGUUAUUAUUGGGAUUUCAUGAACAAGAAAAUCGUAUUACUUGACCCAAUGAAAAUGAACAUGAGCCCUGGUACAGUGGAGCUCACCACGAUUGGGUGGUAUCUGUUAUGACAGAAGCUAUAUGCAAGUGCAUUGACGCUUUCUUUAUGGGAUGGGAGGUUGACUGGAGCGGCUGGGAGCAUUGCUACCCCACCCAAG